AAUCUUGCGAUCACAUAAAAUUUCAGGAAAAAUCAAGUGCUACUAUAUUCUGUGUUUGGAUCAGGUUUAGCAUGCAUGUGGUUUAAGUUGCCUUUCCUCCACUUUGAUGGUUCAAAUAAUUUUCUAUGUUAAUAUUCAAACGCUUUUCUGAUUUUGUAAAAGAAAGCUGCACCUCUAAAGCACAGCAUUGAAUUUUACAAUUUCUAGCUGUGUCCCAUCUGCUAGAGUGUAUGUUCUAUUCAGUACCUUCUUUUGGUUUCAGGAAUGAUUGUU
rnacentral:misc_RNA from 1 species